GAAGCGUUUAGAGGCUGUUAUUUCUGCAAAAGGAGGAUCUACUAAAUAUUGAUGUAAAUUUAUGCACCUGCCUAAUUUUGUUUAUUGCACACUUUUUGUAAAUCCUGCUAUAUAUCAUCUGCUAUAUGAUAUAUUUAAUGGAAAUUACUGAUCUGAACACUUAAGAUUUUAGAAAGGAAUAUUAUAUCAUUAUCAUUAUUUUUCAUAACACUGUAAGUAAUCUUUAGGUAUAAGAGAUGACGCACUUUUUACACAUCACAGAAUUUUUUGUGCAAUAUAAUGUGGUUUUCUAAGAUUAGAGACUGAAAGCCAUAUUACACUGAUAUUAAUAUUUAUUUACGCUGCAAUAAUUUUGGAAGUACCUUUGAAUUCAGAUGAGAACACCCAAGUUGGCUGCAUUUUUACAUUCUUUCAAAACAUUUAAAAAAUAAAUCAGCUAAAUACUUUAGAGUUUGCCUCAGCUGAUUUGACCUUUUUAUGUUAAAUCCAGAUUAAAUAUGUGCUACUUUUUACGUCCCAGAUUAUCACUCUUAAGCAUUGUUAUCAUGUUUGUUAUAUGUUAAAAGAGAUAUUUUAAAGCAACAUUUUAGUUUAGAUUAAAAAUAAUUGUUAAGAAUUGUUAAUAAUUUGAAGUUAUACCCAGCUGUGGUCAGAUGAUGCUACCUACACUUAUCACUGAUGUGAAAUUAUUUUAGUUAAAUUAACAGUCAAAAAUUGUAUCAAAUGAGGCUCUGGUUACUUUAUUGAUUUAAAUUUUGGUGAAGUUACAUAACUUGUCUUCUUGACUUCAGUCCGUCCGACACUGACUGGCUGGCUGGAAAAGGAUGAAGAUGGUCACACUUUUGCCGUCUGUGAAGCUCAGAGUAAACCAGCAGCUUCCAUUUACUGGGAAUCCCAGUGGAACAUCUCUUCACUCAGAACGAGCUCAUCUAAAAACGACAGUGGACUUUUCACAGUGACGAGCCGUUUACAGCUUCCUCAUGAUGCAUCUUACGCUGAUCUGACCUGCGUGGUCUCUGCCAGCCCCUCCAACUACUGGAAAGAGAUUCAAUUCAACACCUUCCAGUAUAAGGUCUCUUUCCAGGCUAUUGAGCACUAUUGGAUUUGUCUGGGUAUUUUUGCCUUUUUCAUCAUAACACAGUUGAUCAUCUUUGCCGUCUUUUUGGUAAGAUUCUUAUUUUUGUUUGGAGGGCCAUAGAGCUCUAACACUUCUGCCACCCCUCUAUCCUUUCACCCAACCCCUAUGUUUGAGCUUGUAAAACAAAGGGGUAGAGCUUAGUGGUAGGGGCAAAAUGUAAAACAGGACUGGUCCAGAGUUCCUGUCGUGUAAAUCAGUGAUUUGUUCUUGAUUUUGUAAUUAUAAACUUGUCUUUUGUUGGUGGUGUAACCAGAGAUAUUUGCUAAAGAUCUGGGGCUCUAUUCUACACCCUGUGCACAGCACGCCAACAGUCUAUUUGCCUGCAUAGUUUAAACAGCAAUGGGGUUUAGCAAUAUAUCUAUGCUGAUGGGCGUGGUGGUCUGAAAAUUUGCUGUGUUCAGGUACAUUUCUGGCAUUUUGCUAUCUUGGUGGUGGAAAACACAGGUGCGCUGUUGUGUGUCCAGACACUUAAAUCCGUCCAGUCCAGAAAUGUAUAAUGUUUUUUUUUUAUUCACAGAUCAUUAAAAAAUGUGGCCUGCAUGACUGAAAUCUCAACACCAAAAAAAGAAAACCCCAAGGAUAAAGCAUUUAAUUUUCUAAUUAUGUCAUUUAAAUAAUUUAAUUUAUUUGUAUUUAUUAACUAACUAGCUUAUUAUGUAAGAUUUCUGUGUGAUGUAACAGGCAGUUUGCUUUAGAAUAUUUGUUUCUAAUUUCAGGAAUAUGAAGAAGAAGAAGUGGAAGUGGAAAUUGGUUUCUAUGUGAAUGUUGACCAACUUAUGUCCUGAUUUAGACUUGAAACUUACAACCUACACAAGUUCAGUGUUUAAGGGAAGCGUCAAAAUAACUCAAAAAAGGUAGUGAACUUCCUGCAGGUCUAACAGCAGGUCUCGUUGGUGUUUUUUAAAAUGGCAGGAUAUUGUGUCGAUUUCUACAGUCUAUGUAUGGAUUUUUUUAGCUUUAAAUAUGUAAUCUUGUUUUAAGUUCUGCCUUUAUGUUUGACAUGACUGGGGUCUAUGCAAUGUAUGCAUCUAAAUGCAACCAGAGCCAUGUGGCGAGAUGUAAAGAAAUUUAAUGUAAAAAGACAAUAUGCAUAAAAUAUAUUAUAUUAUAUUUAAA